AAAGCGUAAUAGCUCACUGAUCGAGUCGUCCUGCGCGGAAGAUGUAACGGGGCUAAGCCAGUUACCGAAGCUGCGGAUGCAUCGCAAGAUGCGUGGUAGGAGAGCGUUCUGUAAGCCUGUGAAGGUGGGUUGUGAAGCCUGCUGGAGGUAUCAGAAGUGCGAAUGCUGACAUGAGUAGCGUUAAAGGGGGUGAAAAGCCCCCUCGCCGAAAGCGCAAGGUUUCCUACGCAACGUUCAUCGGCGUAGGGUGAGU
rnacentral:rRNA from 1 species